rnacentral:lncRNA from 1 species
GAGCGUGAUGACAGCAUACACAUAAUUUGAACAAAGCAAGGAUGUGAACUUCUCCAAUUUGAACUUGGCUCCUAUCUCCGCAUGAAUACGAGUAGCUACGUAAGCCACCCAGUUGAACACCAUCCCUUCAAACGCCCCUAAUGCUGCAUACAAUAAUCAUUUUGACACAUAUGUAGGGUGUCGCUACAAUCCUAACCGCCUCAGCACGAACCGCAACCAUUCCACAUAUUCUGGUGUAAUCGCCUCCUGAAUCCGCCAUCCU